UACGUAGGGGGCUAGCGUUGUCCGGAAUCAUUGGGCGUAAAGCGCGUGUAGGCGGCCCGGUAAGUCCGCUGUGAAAGUCGGGGGCUCAACCCUCGAAUGCCGGUGGAUACUGUCGGGCUAGAGUGCGGGAGAGGCGAGUGGAAUUCCUGGUGUAGCGGUGAAAUGCGCAGAUAUCAGGAGGAACACCGGUGGCGAAGGCGGGUCUCUGGGCCGUAACUGACGCUGAGGAGCGAAAGCGUGGGGAGCGAACAGG
rnacentral:rRNA from 1 species